rnacentral:rRNA from 1 species
CCUACGGGAGGCAGCAGUGAGGAAUUUUGCGCAAUGGGGGAAACCCUGACGCAGCAACGCCGCGUGAGUGAUGAAGGCCUUCGGGUCGUAAAGCUCUGUCAAGUGGGAAGAACCUGCCCUGUGCUAAUAUCACCGGGCACUGACGGUACCACUGAAGGAAGCACCGGCUAACUCCGUGCCAGCAGCCGCGGUAAU